UACGGAGGGAGCUAGCGUUGUUCGGAAUUACUGGGCGUAAAGCGCGCGUAGGCGGCUUUGUAAGUUAGAGGUGAAAGCCCGAAGCUCAACUCCGGAACUGCCUUUAAAACUGCAUCGCUUGAAUCCAGGAGAGGUGAGUGGAAUUCCGAGUGUAGAGGUGAAAUUCGUAGAUAUUCGGAAGAACACCAGUGGCGAAGGCGGCUCACUGGACUGGUAUUGACGCUGAGGUGCGAAAGCGUGGGGAGCAAAAGGG
rnacentral:rRNA from 1 species